GAGAAAUGAAAAUUUAACAUAAAAACCUUCAUAUAAAUAUGCAUAGUAGCUUAAUUUGUAAUACCCCAAAAGUGGAAUCAGCUCAGAUGUCCUUCAGUAGGUUAAACAAACUAUGGUACGUAUAUAAUAUAGAAUACUAUUUAACAAUACCAUGCAAGGAACUGUUGAUACAUGUAAUGUCUUAGUCUCUUCAGGCUGCUGUAACAAAGUACCAUAAAUUGGGCGGCUCAUAUAAACAACAGAAAUUUAUUUCUCAAAGUUUUAGAGGCUGGGAAGUUCAAGAACAAGGUACCUGCAGAUUCAAUGUCUGGUGAAAAUCCAUUUCCUGGCUCAUAAAAUGGUACCUUCUAGAUGUGUUCCCACAGGGUGGAAGGAACAAGACAGCUUUCUGGGGCCUCUGUUAUAAGAGCAUUAAUCCAAUUAAUGAGGGCUCUGCCCCCAUGUUUUAGUCACCUCCCCAAAACUCACUUCCUCAUACAAUUACAAUGGACAUUAGGUUUUAACAUUAAUUUUGAGAGGGCCACAGACACUCAGACCAUAGCAUACAACAACUUGAAUGAAUCUCCAGGGAAUUAUGCUUGCCGAAAAAAAGCCAGUCUCAAAGUUUACAUAUUGUAUGAAUCCAUUUAUUUAACAUUCUUGAAAUCAUAGAGAUGGAGAACUGAUUAACGGUUGCCA
rnacentral:lncRNA from 1 species